rnacentral:misc_RNA from 1 species
CUGUACAUAAAUAUGUAUAGUGCAAUUUUUAUUUUUGUGGUAGUACAUUAAAUACAUCUGAAUUUAUGCUUACAUAAUAUUGCAUAACUGAAUUUUGAGUUUGGGAAGGAGAUCCUAUCAGAGGUAUUGCAUGAAUCAUGCAGGAUUUUUAUAUUAAGAAGUUCUCUAACUGUGAAUUUGACAUUCACCAUCCUCUUGUGAUAAUGGCUAAGUUAUAUAAUAAAGGGUAUAACCCUUCCCAUCUUGCAUAUGCAUUCAAUCCCUGCUCUCUUUGGAAGAUGCAAACAGAAUUUUGGCUUUCCAAAUACCUGGCUGGUGGUAAUGGAAGAAAGCUCUUAGAAUGUAAUUUAGAUGCCUAUACGCUUAGAAGGAGAUUAAAUAUACCCAAUGUGAUAUGAAAAUUAUGCAUUAUCCUUCCAAGCAGGUUCCUAUCUAUCAUCUUGGAUUGCAAAUGCUCGGCCUUGUAAUUAUGGAUAAG